AAUAGAUACCCCUGGUAGUCCACGCCGUAAACCGUUGGAUACUAGGUGUGGCGUCCCCGAUCAACGGGAUGCCGUGCCGAAGCUAACGCAUUAAGUAUCCCGCCUGGGGAGUACGGCCGCAAGGCUAAAACUCAAAGGAAUUGACGGGUCCCCGCACAAGCGGCGGAGCAUGCGGCUUAAUUCGAUGCAACCCGAAGAACCUUACCUGGGUUUGAAAUCAUGGGAAAAGCUGUAGAAAUACAGUGUCCGUAAGGGCCCAUGACAGGUGGUGCAUGGCUGUCGUCAGCCCGUGUCGUGAGAUGUUGGGUUAAGUCCCGCAACGAGCGCAACCCUUGUCCUAUGUUGCCAGCGGUUCGGCCGGGGACUCAUAGGAGACUGCCGGGGAUAACUCGGAGGAAGGUGAGGACGACGUCAAGUCAUCAUGCCCCUUAUAUCCAGGGCUGCACGCAUGCUGCAAUGGUCGGUACAACGGGCAGCGACCCCGCGAGGGUGAGCGAAUCCCACAAAGCCGGCCUCAGUUCGGAUUGGAGUCUGC
rnacentral:rRNA from 1 species